rnacentral:misc_RNA from 1 species
CAGAGUUCCUGCCCUCACGGGUAGAAACCCCACCCUUGUAUAUUAUAUAUUGUUGCUUUGGCGGGCCGCCCUCACGGGCACCGGCUCACGCUGGCUCGCGCCCGCCGAAGGACCCCAAACUCUGAAUGUUAGUGUCGUCUGAGUACUAUACAAUAGUUA